rnacentral:rRNA from 1 species
GCCUGUGGUCAUACCCCCCUGGACAUGCCUGAGCUCAUCUGAUCUUGGAAGCUAAGCAGGACUGGGCCUGGUUAAUACUUGGGUGGGAGAAAGCUUUAUCAAUAUUGUCA